GACCUUUGGCUCCUGAUACCAACAACGACGGAUACCCAGAGGGUUAAAAGUGGACUCAACAUGCCACUGCAGUAUGUACUAUUACGUUUGUCAGAAAAAGAAAGCAACGCCAUCUGCUGGCGAAGAGAAGCCAUUGUAAUGCAGCAUGGCAAAUAUCUUAUUUACAUAAAUCAAUUUGGCUGGCAGUGGCAAAUUGUACUGCUCUUUUUGUCAGUGAGUGACAACACUAAUGUUCACCAAAUAAGUGAUUAGCAGCUAAAUUGAGAAUUAAAUAGUGCGUUGUUGCAUCUCUAACUAGAUCAAUAGAUUAAUGUUUACAGACUGGGCACGUGCAGCUAACCCUAACUGCUCGAGGUAAGUAGGGCUCGAGACUGUCCGUUAACUAGUCAGCAGCAUUUUUUGAGAGACUAACUUUUGCUAGCUAACUUCAAAUUAUUGUUGAUAAACGGGCAUAGAAAUAAAAUGCCAGGUGCUGUUCAGUUCAAGGCUGUUUACGUGCCAAGUUUUGGAUCUCAAUCCUCACGAUGUAGUCAAAAAGAUGGACAGCAAACGAAUGAGUACUUGAUCGAGUUGUCCAGCUCAAGGAGAAGACAAGAUACAUUGUCAACAAAAAAGAUCAAAUUAACGAAGUGUAACAGCAAGCCUGCACUGUCCAAGAAGAAACGAAAGGAUGAGAGAAGGUCGAUGCCUCCACCACGACCCGUGAUAGAGACAGCUGCCCGAUGUCAAGGUGGAGGAGAAAGAUCACAGAGACGGAGAAGUCCUAGCGUUGGCCAAAGAUUCUCGUUCCUUCCUUGUUCCUCCAUGUCCGAUACAGGCACUCCUCAGAGCAUGAUGAAUGAAGACCUCUUCACCUUCUACCAGAGAGACGAGCACACGUCAACCAACCAACCUCAGUGGGCAGCCAGACAGGCUGUGUUAAGGACCAUCGGUAGGAUGCUGCAGGAGAACAGAAGCAUCAGAGAGAGACUGGUCUCCCUCAGCCAUAGCAGUCAGGCUAUACAUUGAACUCAGUCUGAAGACUAGAUUACAAUCUGGGAAUGAUACGUAGAUUAUGGAACUUCUCUUUCUCUCUCAAACUCAGGAAUGGAAUAUUUUUAUUUGUUUCCCUUAAAUGUUAUGAUUUUGUUUUAACCAAGUUUAUGGACUACCUGGCAAAUGUGCUGAUUUGAGAUGGAAUGAAGAUGAGGUUAUUUAUGUUACCUGAAACUAAACCUGUACUGUAUAUCUCGAGCAAUCUGUUCCUAUCGUUUCCUCUGGUUGAAGAAAUAGACUAUAAGUUGGUUUUGAUGGGGAACACACAGAUUUUUACUGUUGUCAACUAUUUUGACUGUUGUCAUGGGGAACAAAGAGUUCUGAAUUAAAACAACUUCUUGAGGAGAAAGUGUUGUUAAUUUCUGUUAUGUCUGGUGAGCUAUAACAGGUCAACCAACCCUCCUGGAGUGCUACUACUGGGUAUGAAGGCUGUUGCACCUGCCCUUCUUCCUCAUGGAGAACCUCACCUCUUUUUCCACUAGAGGGAAGUGUCUCUAUGUUGUGUGUGUGUGGGUGUGUUAGAUACUGUACACUCAGCCACCUAAAGGUAGAAUACACAGGUCAGCCACAGCUCAACUUUCUCAGUCAGAGGUUCUCAGUAGAGCCUGGGAGUGUCCAAAAUGGCACCUUAUUCCCUUUAUAGUGCACUACUUAUGAACAGAACCCGAUGUGUUUCUGUUUCCUGCUCCUUAUUAGUGAAUUAACAACCCACAGCCAACAUGUGUUUCUGUUUCCUGCUCCUUAUUAGUGAAUUAACAACCCACAGCCAACAUGUGUUUCUGUUUCCUGCUCCUUAUUAGUGAAUUAACAACCCACAGCCAACAUGUGUUUCUGUUUCCUGCUCCUUAUUAGUGAAUUAACAACCCACAGCCAACAUGUGUUUCUGUUUCCUGCUCCUUAUUAGUGAAUUAACAACCCACAGCCAACAUGUGUUUCUGUUUCCUGCUCCUUAUUAGUGAAUUAACA